AGCGAACGCUGGCGGCAGGCCUAACACAUGCAAGUCGAACGGACCCUUCGGGGUUAGUGACGGACGGGUGAGUAACACGUGGGAACGUGCCUUUAGGUUCGGAAUAGCUCCCGGAAACGGGUGGUAAUGCCGAAUGUGCCCUUCGGGGGAAAGAUUUAUCGCCUUUAGAGCGGCCCGCGUCUGAUUAGCUUGUUGGUGGGGUAAUGGCCCACCAAGGCUACGAUCAGUAGCUGGUCUGAGAGGAUUACCAGCCACAUUGGGACUGAGACACGGCCCAAACUCCUACGGGAGGCAGCAGUGGGGAAUCUUGCGCAAUGGGCGAAAGCCUGACGCAGCCAUGCCGCGUGUAUGAUGAAGGUCUUAGGAUUGUAAAAUACUUUCACCGGUGAAGAUAAUGACUGUAGCCGGAGAAGAAGCCCCGGCUGACUUCGUGCCAGCAGCCGCGGUAAUACGAAGGGGGCUAGCGUUGCUCGGAAUUACUGGGCGUAAAGGGAGCGUAGGCGGACAUUUAAGU
rnacentral:rRNA from 1 species